CUUGGGGGUUCCUGAACUCCCAGCCUUGAGACCUACCAUCAGCCCGACCCCAGGGUCCUGUGCGUCUUCCUACGGACCCGAAAGAAGAAAGCUUUGAGAGUGUACCUUUUCGCUAUUUUUCCUCCCCACUUUUACGACUUUGAAUUUACAGUGUUGCUAUUUAGUAGUGGAUGGCAAUCCCGCCUGUUUCAAGUUUCUGAAAUUUUGCGUGAAACAAGCGCAAAUGAAGCAGCUGUCCAGUUGGGGAACAGUAAAAUAACUGCAGUUCUGUUCAGUGAAUUCUUUCUCCCACAAUAUUCUCCCUAGCUUAAAAAAGCAGGUCGGCCGCCCUCCCCACAGUUGCCGUCUCCCCCGGGGCCGGCCGGUCUUAUGAUCCGGCGGAUCCUCCUGGGGAGGCCGGGACGGGGAGAGGGCGCG
rnacentral:lncRNA from 1 species